CAAUUUAAAGCUUUGUUAGUUAAGCCUUUCAUUUACACUGAAAAGAAUUUUGUGCAAAUCAAUAUAAAUUGA
rnacentral:tRNA from 1 species